rnacentral:sRNA from 1 species
CUUCUCGAGAGCAGGGAACUUGUUGGAGUGGUUAGAGGAGUCAUUAAGAAUGUAGGAACUCUUUCUGGAUCACUCUUGAAGAUGGGUUACAUCCUAGGCCUCAGAGUCUCUCCUUCUUACAGGAGAAAAGGGGUUGCACUAAGACUUAUCGCUGCAGUUGAAGAAUGGAUGGUGAGAAAUGGAGCUGAGUAUGCAUUCCUAGCCACUGAAAAGGAUAAUGAUGCUUCUAAAAACCUAUUCACUGUCAAAUGCAAUUAUGUGAACCUUAGCUCACUUGUCGUAUUCGUCCAACCAAUUAGUUCCAUGACAAAGCAUAUUUCCAGGGAUAUAAAAAUAGAGAAAGUGGACAUAGAUCUAGCAAUUUCGUUAUACAGAAGAACCUUGAAAACAAAAGAUUUGUAUCCACUAGAUAUGGACGUUAUUCUGAAGGAGAAACUCAGCAUAGGCACGUGGGUAAGUUAUUAUAAGAGAGAGGGCUGGCUCAAUUUGCGAAGCAAGGUAGAUAAUGAAGAAGAUCUCAUUAGCAGUGAAACUUCAAACUCAUGGGUGAUUUUUAGUAUUUGGAACACUUGUGAAGCUUACAAGUUUCAAGUUAGAAGGUCUCAACUAGUAAGGUUUCUUCUUACAACCUUAAAUCAGGCAAGAGAGAGAGUUUUCCCUUGUCUCAAGAUGUCGGUGAGUAACUCACUUUGUAGAUCCUUUGGUUUUCUCUUUCUUUAUGGAAUCUAUGGGCAGGGAGAAAACCUUGGAGAGCUCAUGGAAUCCAUGUG